AUGCCGAGUCUUUCUCCGCCGCCAACUCGACGUCGUCGUCACCUGCAAGAGAAGGCCAAAAACUGGACUUUACUAAACAAGCGAGAAAACUUUCUAUUUAGUAAAGCAACAAGCAAGGGAUUGAGCUGCGCGAAAGCCGCGUUCGCGCAUCCGUUUUCUUGCUCGCUAGCUGCAAUCAAAAAACAGCGCACACUAGAAAGUGCUUCGAAUUCGAAAGGCGCCGGCUCCCUUCUUACUGACAGCACAGCUACGUGCUGGCACUCAAUUAGUAGCGCUGGCGCGUCACUCGGCUCCUCGGCUCACUUCGGUUGCAAAGACUUUCUCCUUAGGCGCAUGUCUCAGCAACACAAAACGAGGGUUUCGCUCGUUAUAGGACUUGACCAAACAUCUCACGACACGAGCUGA